GACGAACGCUGGCGGCGUGCUUAACACAUGCAAGUCGAACGAUGACGACCGAGCUUGCUCGGUCUGAUUAGUGGCGAACGGGUGAGUAACACGUGAGCAACCUGCCCUUCACUCUGGGAUAACCUCGGGAAAUCGGGGCUAAUACCGGAUAUGAGCUCCUGUCGCAUGGCGGGUUUUGGAAAGUUUUUCGGUGUAGGAUGGGCUCGCGGCCUAUCAGUUUGUUGGUGAGGUAGUUGCUCACCGAGGCGAUGACGGGUAGCCGGCCUGAGAGGGCGACCGGCCACAAUGGGACUGAGACACGGCCCAGACUCCUACGGGAGGCAGCAGUGGGGAAUAUUGCACAAUGGGAGAAAGCCUGAUGCAGCGACGCCGCGUGAGGGAUGACGGCCUUCGGGUUGUAAACCUAUUUCAGCAGGGAAGAAGCGAAAGUGACGGUACCUGCAGAAGAAGCGCCGGCUAACUACGUG
rnacentral:rRNA from 1 species